rnacentral:rRNA from 1 species
UAUCGGAACGUACCCAAGAGUGGGGGAUAACGUAGCGAAAGUUACGCUAAUACCGCAUACGAUCUAAGGAUGAAAGUGGGGGAUCGCAAGACCUCAUGCUCCUGGAGCGGCCGAUAUCUGAUUAGCUAGUUGGUGAGGUAAAGGCUCACCAAGGCGACGAUCAGUAGCUGGUCUGAGAGGACGACCAGCCACACUGGGACUGAGACACGGCCCAG